GCCACUGCCGCAGCCUGCAACAGGAGCCAGUUGCAUUGGACACCCAACUCCCUCCGGCUUACCAGGUGAGGCUGCAAAUCAUGUGGGUAGCUAAGUGCAAAUGGAGAAAUCUGCAAUUUAUUGGAUUAGAGCUUAUUCAGUAGAAGAAUGAUGAUCAUAAACAUAAAAUUGGUGGGGACUAUUUUGGUUUAGAAGUGUUUGGAACAGGAACACAACAAAGUUGAACUAGUACAAAGCUUGAGAGAUGCUUACAAGGCAUUACUUGUUUGGAUACAGAUUAAAUAAUUUAUUGUCUGAUGAAAAAAGUGUUGGGAUUGUAAAGUGUGUUACAAUCAAAGCCUCACAUCGAUUAGUGAAGAGAGAGAUCUAUGGUAUAUAGAUAAAGAUAAUUAUUUUCAUUGAUACGAGAUUUUUUUUGGUGAAAUCAAAAGCAAAGUCGUGAGGGCUAUGUUCAAAGUGAACAAUAUCAUACAAUUAUUAUCAUAUCAUACAAUUAUGGAGAUAUUUGGGAUAUGAGAGUUGGCAGACAGGUCGUGGGUGUGGAAUUGUUGAGUGGGGUGGGGCUAUUUCCCAACUUUGGGUGUAAAUUGCUGACUCGUUUCCUAGUCAGAUUCUUUAAGGAGAGUUUUUUUCUGCAUCAGCUUGUAUGUGUCCGAAUCUUUGAUUGAUGAGAAACGACGACACAGAGUAUAAAGAGGCUAUCUUGUCUUCAUUUGAAAGAAAGAAAUGCAGGCAACUUAUUCCGUCA